rnacentral:rRNA from 1 species
CGGCGUGCCUAACACAUGCAAGUCGUACGAGAAAGGCCGGCUUCGGCUGGUGAGUAAAGUGGCGCACGGGUGAGUAACGCGUGGAUAAUCUGCCCUUAAGUGUGGAAUAACGUACCGAAAGGUGCGCUAAUACCGCAUAAUGCCUGGCAACACAAGUUGUCCGGCCAAAGAAGGCCUCUGUUUACAAGCUUUCGCUUCAGGAUGAGUCCGCGUACCAUUAGCUUGUUGGUGGGGUAAUGGCCUACCAAGGCUGCGAUGGUUAGCUGGUCUGAGAGGAUGAUCAGCCACACUGGAACUGAGACACGGUCCAGACUCCUACGGGAGGCAGCAGUGAGGAAUAUUGCGCAAUGGGGGCAACCCUGACGCAGCAACGCCGCGUGAGUGAGGAAGGUUUUCGGACUGUAAAGCUCUGUCGAGCGGGAAGAAGUGUACCAUGGCUAAUAUCCAUGAUAUUUGACGGUACCGCUAGAGGAAGCACCGGCUAACUCCGUG